AGCAGUCGCCACGGUAAUACGUAGGGUGCAAGCGUUAAUCGGAAUUACUGGGCGUAAAGCGUGCGCAGGCGGUUUUGUAAGACAGAGGUGAAAUCCCCGGGCUCAACCUGGGAACUGCCUUUGUGACUGCAAGGCUAGAGUACGGCAGAGGGGGAUGGAAUUCCGCGUGUAGCAGUGAAAUGCGUAGAUAUGCGGAGGAACACCGAUGGCGAAGGCAAUCCCCUGGGCCUGUACUGACGCUCAUGCACGAAAGCGUGGGGAGCAAACAGGAUUAGAUACCCCGGUAGUCCCUGUCUCUUAUAC
rnacentral:rRNA from 1 species